GGCUGAUCUUCCUAAAUCAAGUGGGUUCAUAUUUAAUAUCGCACUUGUAUCAUAUCAUAUCAGUGUAAUGCCAUGGCGUAGCCUUAGUGAAGAGUGGCUGGAAAGUUGCCUGUCAGAAGAGGAUCUGGGUUUGCUGAUCGGCAGCUGGCUGAACAGGAACCAACAGUGUGCUCAUGUGGCCACGAACACCAAGGAUAUAUAGACCUGCAUCAGAAAUAGUAUAGCAGCAGAAUAUGAGAAGGAACAGACCCUUGCAUAUGGUGAGACCAUACCUUGAAUACUCUGUUUUUGGGUCCCUCAUUACAAGAAGGAUAUGUAGUUGCUCCAGUGUGUGCAGAGAAUAGAAACAAUGUUGGUGAAGAGAUUAAGAAACAAGACUUAGAGGAGUGGUUGAGGCAAGUGGGGCUACAGAAAAGAAGACUGUGAAGAGACCUCAUUGCUCUCUUACAGCUAUCUGAAAGGAGGUUGGAGCAAGGAGGGGAUCAGCCUCUUUUCUGAGGUGACAGGUAAUAUGGCAUGAAGCAACAGCCUCAACAGGAGAUUUUGAUUGGAUAUCAGGAAUAAUUUCUUCACAGACAGAGUGAUCAGGCAAUGGAAUAGACUGCCCGAGGAAAUGGUGAAGUCUCCAAUGAAGAGAUUUAAGAGAUGCACAAUGACAUCUGUCAAAACCUUAAGACCAUUCAAGGCAGAUGUUUACAUGGACCAUGACUCCAGAUGUCACAAGCAGCCUGGUGAUAGGGAUUCCCAAAGCAUCUUACAGACUCUCUGAGAGAUUAUCUGUCUUCCUUAAAGCAGAGGAGAAGCUCUUGUUAGACCUUACAUCUGGACAUAAAAUAGAAAUAAAGAGAGCUACCAUUAUGACUUGUAGCUCGUGGGAUAGGAAAAUGAGUGUUGUUUGAAUGCACCCAUCUAUCCUCCCUACGGUUUGGAAUGAUGACAGAAAUGACAUGGACUGACAGAUUUAGAAGUUAAUUAUCCCAGCGUAAUAAUUAAAAAUGUUUGUCAUUUAUUCACAGUUCUAAGCAGGUCAUCCAGUAGUUUCAGUCUCUAUACCAUGUUUCUAUUUGAUGACUAAUGAAACUGAACUACUGAACUACUUGCCAAAAGCUUUUUUUUUUUUUUUUUUUAAUCUAAUGUUGCAUCUUUUGCAGUAAGGUUUUAUUUUCUAUGACUCUAACAAAACAUUCUAGUGAAUAUUUUCAGUAAAGAAUAUUCCCUUGAGAAUCAUCUUGGUGAUUUCCUCAGCCAGUAGGUCAGUAAGCUGCUUGUUUCUAAAGGAAACAUAAAGAUUUCAGUUAAUAAUGGGACAUAUUUUCUUUGUAGUUUUGUGCCAUCAGUGAGGUAGAGAAAUCUCAUCUGUACACAUUGCUCUUGACAUCACAUAAGGUUUUGGAGGAAGGCAGACUUUUGUGCAGUGGAUUUGCUGAAUGCUGUCCAGUUAUUCUGCAAUGAAGAUGGUGUGACAUCUUCUCAGCAAGUGAUAUUUUAGAGCACUUCCAAAGUUUUAUCAUGUAUAUGUCUUAUGGCAUUGAUAAGGAAAAAUGUAUUUAUAUUAAAUCACUCAGGGCUUACUUUGCGUAAGGAUUUUUUGCCCAUUGUAUACUUUCUGAGUAAACGUACUUCUAAUUUAUUUUAAGACUCACUGACUUUCAACUUUUUUUAAUUUUCAAAACUGAUUUCAGUAAACUUAUCUCUUACUGAAAGAGUCGAGAACACAAUGCACCAAUUUCUUAGAAAGACAUAAUCAAAUAAAUGUUUUCUGAAAUUCCUGACACUUUCUUAAUCUUUAAUAAUACCUUUGCUGCUUCAAAUAUAUGAGAUACUUUGCAAAGACCUGUGCAAGCAUUUCCAGAAAGUGCAGAGUUGUAUGUAUUUUAUUUCUAGCAUGCAGUACUUGCCAGGACCAGUAAUCUUACAACAUUUUAAUUAUAUUCUGUGGACUCUCGUGAUGCAAUAUAUAAAUAGUUCAAAAAGUGAUAAGAUACUGUAAUUUAUCUGCAACUGAUUUGCAACUUAUCUGUCAACAUGAUUCAUAUUUCCUUUUUUUUUUUUUUUUCAGUCUUUCAAACAUUUUUGUUUUCAGGUAUCUGCAGUAGAGC
rnacentral:lncRNA from 1 species